AGCAGCCGCGGUAAUUCCAGCUCCAAUAGCGUAUAUUAAAGUUGUUGCAGUUAAAAAGCUCGUAGUUGAAUUUCGGGAUCAGUACGUUGGUCGUGCCUUGGUACGUACUGGUGUAACUGAUUCCUCCCUUCUGACGAACCGUCAUGCCAUUCACUUGGUGUGGCGGGAAAUCAGGACUGUUACUUUGAAAAAUUAGAGUGUUUAAAGCAGGCUCGCGCUUGAAUACAUUAGCAUGGAAUAAUGAAAUAGGACGUUAAUCCUAUUUUGUUGGUUUCUAGGAUCGACGUAAUGAUUAAUAGGGAUAGUUGGGGGCAUUAGUAUUCAAUUGUCAGAGGUGAAAUUCUUGGAUUUAUUGAAGACUAACUACUGCGAAAGCAUUUGCCAAGGAUGUUUUCAUUAAUCAAGAACGAAAGUUAGGGGAUCGAAGACGAUCAGAUACCGUCGUAGUC
rnacentral:sRNA from 1 species